rnacentral:miRNA from 1 species
CUGAUGGUGGAUGCUGGGUUUAGGCUGGGGGUUUCAACUCCUUGCCACGUAGGCCUCUCCUGUGGUCUCUCCCUGUGGGCUAGUUUGGGCUUCCUCAUAGCAUGGUGGCUGGGUUU